GACGAACGCUGGCGGCGUGCCUAAUACAUGCAAGUCGAACGCUUCUUUCCUCCCGAGUGCUUGCACUCAAUUGGAAAGAGGAGUGGCGGACGGGUGAGUAACACGUGGGUAACCUACCCAUCAGAGGGGGAUAACACUUGGAAACGGGUGCUAAUACCGCAUAACAGUUUAUGCCGCAUGGCAUAAGAGUGAAAGGCGCUUUCGGGUGUCGCUGAUGGAUGGACCCGCGGUGCAUUAGCUAGUUGGUGAGGUAACGGCUCACCAAGGCCACGAUGCAUAGCCGACCUGAGAGGGUGAUCGGCCACACUGGGACUGAGACACGGCCCAGACUCCUACGGGAGGCAGCAGUAGGGAAUCUUCGGCAAUGGACGAAAGUCUGACCGAGCAACGCCGCGUGAGUGAAGAAGGUUUUCGGAUCGUAAAACUCUGUUGUUAGAGAAGAACAAGGACGUUAGUAACUGAACGUCCCCUGACGGUAUCUAACCAGAAAGCCACGGCUAACUACGUG
rnacentral:rRNA from 1 species